rnacentral:misc_RNA from 1 species
GUAGUUUGUCAGUUGUCAGUUUGUCACUUGUCAGUUGUGACGUCUACAAAGAAGACUAUAGUUGAAUACAAAAUUUUUGUAGUGUCCUAAAGGUUUUUCUCAGUUUUAUUUAAAAAAAUUGAAACUUCAGUAUACACAUUUCGAGAUUACGAUAUCUGUUCCCAAGUAUCGUUCCACAUAAUAUUGAUAGGAAUAAUUGGGAAGCAUGGGUAAGACAACAAAAGUUGUUUUCAUGGGUAUGAAAGGCGUUGGCAAAACUGCAAUCCUGGAGCAAGCAAUUUAUGGAAAUGUUACCAGUAUCACACAAUUGCAAUCAACUGUAGAAGACAUCUACGUUGCCAACGUUGAAACAGAGCGAGGCACCAAAGAGCGGCUGCGGUUCUAUGACACGGCCGGACUGGAGGGCGUGGCGCAAGCGCGCAACUGCAACUACCACAUUCAGGCCGAGGGGUAUGUGCUCGUCUACGACACCGGCAGACCUGAGAGCUUUGACUGUGUCGUUGCACUCAAGAAGGAGAUCGAGAAGAGUCGUGAGAAGAAAGAGCUGACUACGAUGAUUCUGGGUAACUGUGUGACGGCCAACGAAUCUGCCAUCCCGCUGGAAAGUCCGGUGAGCAAAGCAUCGCAUUGGUCGGCCCGUGAGAAGAUUCGCCACUUCGAGGUGAACGCACUUGACAGAUCGACGCUGGCCGAGCCGUUCGUCUACAUCGCUUCAAGACUCAAUCAGCCAAUGAACAAAGGAGGCUUCCCCAGUAUGGUUCGCAAAAGUGUUAGACUGGAUUCCAGUUGAGGGCAAACUAAAUUUUACGUUGAAGUUUGUGAUGACUGAUCCUUGUCCAGCAUCUCCCGCAUGUACAUGUAAGCCGAUCUUUCUAUCUUGCUGCCGAUAAUGAAAGAUGAUCUACUGUUUUAGGUAUUUGGCGACAGGAUGUUCAUAUGCCGAACUACAUUUCAACCACAGAGUGGGAAAAUCAACAAUAGGAAAUGUGCUUCGUCAAGUUUGUGGUGUAAUUUUCGAUAAACUUAAAAACAUGUGUAUGCCAGCAGUCACAAGAGAAAAGUGGGAAUAAGUAAGCAGAGAAUUCCUCAAAAAUACCAACUUGCCCAACUGUAUUGGGGCGAUAGACUGCAAACAUGUUCGAAUCCAACAACCCAGUUACACAGGAUCUCUCUAUUUUAAUUAUAAACACUUCUUUUCUAUUGUGCUGUUAGCCGUAUGUGAUUCCAACUAUCGUUUCUUGUUUGUGGACGUCGGGUCUUAUGGAAAGAGCAACGACUGUUCAAUCUUUCAAGAUUCAUUGUUUUU